rnacentral:rRNA from 1 species
CCUACGGGGGGCAGCAGUGGGGAAUAUUGCACAAUGGGCGCAAGCCUGAUGCAGCGACGCCGCGUGAGGGAUGGAGGCCUUCGGGUUGUAAACCUCUUUUAUCGGGGAGCAAGCGUGAGUGAGUUUACCCGUUGAAUAAGCACCGGCUAACUACGUGCCAGCAGCCGCGGUAAUACGUAGGGUGCAAGCGUUAUCCGGAAUUAUUGGGCGUAAAGGGCUCGUAGGCGGUUCGUCGCGUCCGGUGUGAAAGUCCAUCGCUUAACGGUGGAUCCGCGCCGGGUACGGGCGGGCUUGAGUGCGGUAGGGGAGACUGGAAUUCCCGGUGUAACGGUGGAAUGUGUAGAUAUCGGGAAGAACACCAAUGGCGAAGGCAGGUCUCUGGGCCGUUACUGACGCUGAGGAGCGAAAGCGUGGGGAGCGAACAGGAUUAGAUACCCGGGUAGUC